rnacentral:lncRNA from 10 species
UCUUUAUCUUAUUCCAUCUUUAAUAGAUAAAUUAAAUGGGUAUAGAUUUCUAAUUCAAGAUCAUCUUCCUUAGGAUUUUUGAAGUUAUUUCUCUACUGAGUGGACAUAUGAAAAGCACUUGAAACCAAAUUCUCACAUACUUUACUUUUGGGAUAUGUUUAGUAUUUCCUAGAUAAUUCGUGUAACUUUUUUUCUUAAUUUUAUUAAAAUUCUUAAGACUAUUAAAUGUGUAAAGGACCUCUUGAAUGUAUCCUCAAAGAUCUACAUUUUUUAUAAAUGUUUAUGUGACUUUACCUUAGUCUCCCAUUGCAUUUGUGGUAUUUCAAAAUAUUACAAUAAUUUUACUUUUAUUUCUUUUUAUUUAUAUUUUUGUUUUAUAUAAGUAUUGGUUUCAUUCAACUCUUUGGAGAAAUCAACUGUAUAGCUGGCUCGUGAACAACACGGGUUCAUUGAUACCGAGAUUUUUUUUUCAACAAAAGUUACACCAAGUGUGCCUGCCUCUCCUUCUUCGCCUUCCAUCUUCUCCAUCUCUUAUGCCUCUGCCACUCCUAAAACAGGAAGACCAAUCCAUCUUCUUCCUCCUCCUCCUCAGCCUACUCAACGUGAAGACAAGGAUGAAGAUCUUUAUGACGAUCCACUUUAUGAAAAGAAGCCAGUGCGAAUCGGCCUUAGCUUCCCUGCCUCCAGACCUUUUCUCCUGCCUCAAUAGUGGUGUGAUGUGGAGAGAGGCAAUAUGUAUGCAGGAAUAAGCUUGGAGAUGAAGUGGCUUCAGCCGUUAUCUGUGAAUCACACUACUGGGCUUGAUCUACAAUUUCGGGAAAGCUGGAUUUGAAAAAAAUGUUGCUGAUUUUUAUUAGAGAAACUUAGGUUCUCAUACAGCACCAAAUUUUUCUAGUGAAGGCGGUUGGGAUUUUUAUGGACCUUUAAGGUAAAGAAGAUUAAAGGAAUUCAACAGUGAAGCAGGGGGAGGGGACAAAGGGGCUGAACUGGGUGAAAGAGGAGGUACAAAUUCUCUGGAGCACAUUUCUGAGUCUUCAGCCUUGAAGGGCAUAUCAUAAAGUGAAGGGAAAACUUUUUUCUUUCUUAAUUUUAAAAUUAGGGAAAGUUCUAGAAAUAUUACCUAAAGUAACAUCACUUGACCAUGUACGUCCAGAAACUAGAUGGAAGUGAAUGAAGAAAUAAAAUAGCAAAAGGGAAACUAAUCUUACAGAGAAUUAAAUUCUACUUCCACUAAGUUCAUGUAAAGAUGAAUCCAUUUCUUUACAACUUAGGAUUCUGAACCUCCAGACAUGUCAAUUUCUGUUUGGUAUAAAUUAGGGUAAAGUGAGCAACUGUAGUCCCAGCACUUUGGGAGGCCAAGGGGAGAGGAUUGCUUGAGGCCAGGAGUUCAAGACCAACCUGGGCAACAUAGCAAGACGCCAUCUCUACUAAAUUUUUUUUUAAAAAUUAGUCAGCCAUGGUGGCAUAUUCCUGUAGUUCUAGCUACUCAGGAGGCUGAGGCAGGAGGACCGCUGGAGCCCAAGAAUUAGAGCUCAAGGCUGAAGUGAGUCAAGAUCACACCACUGCACUCCAGUCUGGAUGACAGAGUGUGACCCUGCCUAAAAAAAAAAAAAAAAAAAAAAAAAGUAGAAAUAAUACCAGUGCCAUGGAAUUGCUGGGGUAUAAAAUAUUUAUUGUAUGUGUUCUCCAUGUUGUAUUAUGGCAUAUUAGGGUAACUGCAUGAGUUAUCUGGCAUUCUGAAUGCAGAAACAGAAGCUAGUCAAGUCUACAUCAAGGCAACUGGCCUGUAAAAGCUUGUGAUCCUGAAUGUUGUUAAAAGAAAAAAAAAUAUUCAGGGAUAAUGAUGCUUAUGAAAGCACAGUAAAGUGGUUCAGAACCAUUGCAGUAGAUACAGGGACCACUGCUCUGGGAUUUUGCACUUGGUGGCGGAGACACGGGGCUCCACUCUGAAUACGGCAUGGGCAAGUGGGAAUUUGUAGCCACAGAUUGGAGAUGGGACUAUCAGCAGAUAGAAAGUUACUAGCAGAAAAUAUCAGGAGUAAGGGGGAUUCUGGCUAAACCAAUCUGACAGAACUCCUACUGAAGACAGGCCAGGGUGAUCAGCUGUCACCUGGGGAAAGGUAGAGGAUGAGAAACUGGAUAAUGAAGGUGAGAUGAAGGAUGAAGGAUUCUUGAUAAACUGACUUAGCAGGGUUCUUACUAAAACUGGAUUUUACAAGGAAGUGUACAGCUGAUAUUAGGAGAAGGCUUAGGAGUCUGAAAUUUUGUUAAGCAAAGAACCUUGUCAGUACACAGCCAUUGGUAGUUAAAAGUAUGCUUUCUGUUGAAUAUGAGUGGCGUAAACUAGUAUAGGGAAUUUACAACCAUUGCGAAUGCACUGUUCAUGCCUGAAAAACAAAUGAGCAUACCCUGAGGCACAAGCCAUCACUAUCUUUAGAGAAGGUGGUAAGUGCAAUAGUGAAGACUGCAGGGUCAGAGGGACUGGGCGCUACCCCCACCCUCUUGCCAGCUGUGUGACUGUGGGCAAGUCAGAUGACUUUUUUUUUUUUUUUUUUUUUGAGACAAGAUCUUCCUCUAUCGCCCAGGCUGGAGCCCAGUAGUGCGAUCUCAGCUCACUGGAACCUCCACCUCCUGGGUUCAAGUAAUUCUCACGCCUCAACCUCUGCAGUAGCUGGGAUUACAGGUGUACGCCACCACGCCCAGCUAAUCUUUGUAUUUUGGUAGAGAUGGGGUUUCACCAUGUUGGCCAGGCUGGUCUCAAACUCCUGACCUCAGGUGGUCCGCCCACCUUGGCCUCCCAAAGUGCUGGGAUUACAGGCAUGAGCCACCGCGCCUGGCUUGUGGGUAAGUUAGAUGACUUCUGAGUUUCAUUCCCCUCAUUGGUAAAAUGACAAUGAAAAUACCCAGAGCCUGGCACAGAGUAGCUGCUCUAUAAAUAUUAGCUAUCAUUAUUAUCAUUUGUGGUUUCUUUUAGUGUCCUUACGAAAGUGGCCUAAUUUCCUCUCAGAUAGUAUCAAGGAACUGAACUUUCCAGAUCACCACAUCUGGACAAUGAGGCAUCAGACCCCUGAUCUGACUGCCUGCUGCGUGUUGACAAGCUCCUCUAUAAACCCCUAACUUUAGUCAGUUGGAGAGAUGGAUGUGAGGCUUGUCUUCCAUCUCCUGUCUCUUGGCUGUUGUUGUUACCUGCAAUAAAGUCUGCCUUCCCUGACAAUACUCAUUGUGUCAAUGGGCUUUCUGUGAGGCAAACAACUAGAAUCUAGGCUGAACCCCUAGUGUUCAACAACGAUUACUCUAUUUUUAAUCUUGUUUUGCACUUACAGUAUUUUGUGUAAGUUCCUGGAAAGGAAGAGCAAGUUUUCACCAGUGACAGUGGAGGAUAACUGUAAGGACUUAGGCUAAAUUACACUGGUCUGGAAGAACUGCCCGUCUGUAUCUCAGGAAUGAUGUUUUUCUGUCCUUUAGCUUAAAACUGCCUUAGGACUUGGGUUUAGGGAGCUUGUGCCUAGUAUUAGAUACAGCCUUCUGGGAGGAAGGGCAUCCAAACACAUUGUUGGAAUCCCAUUCCCAGACCCUCUCACCAUGCACUGUCCUAUAAAUCAUCACAUCAAAGCCUGAGCUAAGGAGGGGUGACCAAAUUCCCUCAAACGGAGCCCACUGCUGUCCUGGCUAAGCAGGGUCUAACACUAGACCAUCAACAAGCACCAUCACACACCGUUAACAAACAUGAGACUUCUUACGUGGUGCCACUAUCCUUACCUUACAUGAGUUAAAUGAAAACUCUGCUGUAAUGGAUUUCUAGAGAGCACAUUAGAGCCCCAGGACAAGAAUGAAACCAUGAAGGGCUGUGGUCAUCCCUAGGUGAAGGCUUCAGAAAGUAUACUGAAGCCCUCAGUAAAGCCUUCAUUUUAUUUCUAGGUGCUUGCUUUCUAAAACACCUGUGCCCAUUUUGUUUGGUGAGCAUGAGAAUGACAUGCCAGUAAGAGAUGCAGGGGAUAGAGUCACCAGUUCAUAAUCACUUGUUGAUUUCAGAUAGAAGCAACCCACACUUAUGAAAGACAAGCCACAUGAAUUAUUUUACUUUCUACUUGAUUCCUUUGCCAAAUAGCAAAUGUUGAUGUAUUAAAAUUGCUUUAAUUAUUCCAUUGAAUUGUUCCAGCAAUCACAUUCUCUCAAUUAAAAGGGUGAUGCAAGAUUUUUAAAUGGAAAUAAACUUGUUCGAGCUGUAUAAAAAGAUGGAAAAAAUAUUCUAAAUGUUGAUAGGAAAAAUACCUUGUUGGAAACAGAUACUAAUGUGUUUUAAGUUACAAAGCUCCUUCAUAAGAAGUUUCUGUUUUUGUUUCACUCUGUGUACUUCCACCUCCCUGUUUUUCACAUGGAUAUAAUUAUUCCUGCUAGCAUAAUACUUUGUUACUCAGUUAAAUCUCCCUUUUAGGGUUUCAAAAACUUAGUGGCUUGAAACAAUAUGAAUUGACUGUGUUACAAUUCCAGAGGUCAGAAGUUUGAAUAGGUCUCAUUGGGUGUGGAGAUGAAGAUGUAGGCAGAGCUUCAUUUCUCUUGGCGGCUCAAGAGCAGAGAGGAAUCCAUUUCCUUGACAUGUCCAGCUUCUCACAUUCCUAGGCUCCUGGCCUUCCUCUGUCUUCAAAACCAGCAACAGCCAAUUCAGACUUUCUCAUGGAGCUGUCUGUCUCUUCUCUCUCUCCCACAUUGUAAGGACCUUUAUGACUGCAUUGGACACCUGCACAAUGCAGACUAAUCUCAAGGGCAGCUGAUUAGCAUUAUUAAUUCCAUCUGCAAUUUCCUUUGCUGUACAACCUAACAUAGUCACAGAUUUCCAGGGAUUAAGGGAGUCAUUAUUCUGCCUCUCAGGGGUUGUUGGGAAAGAGAGAUGGCACAGGAAUACCAGUCUCCCAGUUUUUCCCUCCUUUUGAACCACUUAGGCAAACAGUAGUGCACAAAUUCUAGAGGGUAUUAUUAUCAGGGUGGUAGUUGACAUCAUGGACUAAAGCAGAGUCUUAGUGAAUAGUAUCUGAAGGCUUAAAGGAGUUAAUAGUAAAUUAUGGACCUAAAUCAAGGAGAGUUUUAGAGGCUCAGAGGUUAGUGUUCACAAGGGUGAAAUUGGCUUUUUAACAAAAUAAGGCUCUUAGGUGGACACUUCAAUAAUGUUUAUAAAGAUGAAUGAAUUAAGUGCCACUGGUCUUCUAUAGUGUUUUGCAAAAAUGUGGAUGAGUUCCUUGCACUUUUUUGACUUUAAAGUCAUUUGUAAGAAACUACCAAAAUUGAAUAAACCAAAAAUAUUGAAUAAGCCCUAAAACAGAAAGUAAGGCAGUAUAGAAAAAAAUUUAUACUUGAGCAGUCCUUGAUUUUCACGUGAAGGACAGAGGGUAUUGCUAUGAUAGAAAACAGCUGGGAAGACUCAAUAUAGUUCAGAACUACUGCAACCCAUAAAACAGUUACACUCCUCUAAUCAUGUAUGAUUUUCUUUUGUCCUUGAUCCUGGCCACACAGAACAUACUCUAGGCUCUUGAAAAGAAGAGAAUAAACAGCAGAUUACAAUCAGAUACAUCAGUAAAAUGUUUUUUAAAUGGAAAUAAAAUUUUUAUGUCUGUCACAGAAAGUCUCAAUAACAAUAGUGGGUUAGAAAGUUCUGCCUAUAUAAGAAUCUUACAAUACUCUUUAUAAGGCACUUGAAUCUUCCAGCUUUAACUUCUGAGAGAUAUAGUCAGAUCUAUCUAAUGAAAGCAGGACUGCAGCAAAAGACUAUCAAAUGGAAUUCAAGGGACUUAAACUAUUUAGGAGUUGGGCUUUUUUAUUCUCAAGACCAUAAAGGAACUCUUUAUUAUUGUUACUAGGAGAACCAACACAACAUUUUUGUUGUGAUUUUGGAAUGUCACAGAUUAUUAACUUUUUGAUGGAAGUAGUUAUAACACCCUCUGCUUUAUAAAUGUUAGUUUACAUAAUGGCUCUGACAGAUUAUACAGUCAUUUCAGGGGCAAAGGCAGAAGUUUUAAAUUCCUCAGAAGGAAUUACUGACUAGAUAAUGAUUGUUGUCAAGCAAGAUAAGGCCUCAUUUUCUGACAGAUUCUCAGAGGUAAGUGUUCCAUAGACAGAAAACAUAAAAAUUUUCUGUUACAAGGCAUUCUUUUUUCUCCUAUAUUUGGGCUGUCCUUCUAGUCACUGCAAGUUAUUGUAUGAAAUAAAAUCUGUCUUCCCAAGUUUUCCAUUAAAAAAAUGAUUUGUAAGCUCCGGGAGGAUGGAAAGUUUGUCAUAUAUAUGUUUGAUACAAAGGAAAACACAUUGAAAAUGUACAAUUUACAUUAGGCAACAGUAGGGAACAUCUGUUAACUAAAGGACAUAUCUAUUAUUCAGGGCAAUCAAAUCAACUAUUUGAUCAUUUGUCUGAGAAACCUGAGCUUUGAGUUCAGAGAGAAAUCUCCUCCCUUUCUUCUGGGCUGUUGCAGAGGAGAGCAGAAUUGCAGUUUGUAUCAACUGGAUUCUUGUCAAGAUUAUUCCCUUUGGUGGUGGCUUGACUGCAGCCAAGAGAAAACUCUUUCACUACCAUCCUUGUCUGUCAUUGACUGGCUACAUUGCCAAGGGAUUUUGGUGAUAGAGCCUAAGGAUGACAGAGUAUAGAGAUGAUACAUGCAAUGUUUAAUUGGUCCAGUGAAGGCACCAACUAAUUGGAAUAGACAUUGGCAACAGCAUAGGGUGUGGAGUCCCCUACUCUGCCAGGUAAAGUCUUUAGGUACCGGACCAAAGCAAGGUCCUAAUGGAAGAACUAGGGUCACUGCUGUGCCCAGAGGACAUUAGUGGAGGUUAAGGCAGCAGCUAUUUCUGGAUCCAAAGUAUCUCAGUGUUUUACCAACUUGCCCAUACAAGCUGAAUAACAAGCUCUAGAAUAAGCAAAGGAAAAUUCAUUACUACUUAGGGUCCCCCACAUCUCCAAACAAAGGUAGAUCCAUGUUGCAAGCAGUUUAAUUUAAACAUGUAAGAAGAUGGAAAUUUCUUCCUCUUUAAGAUAUUUUGCUCUUUGAAGGACUGUCUUAAGCAAUGGAAGAGUUCCAAAGAAAUUUAACAAAGCUGCUCAUGAAUUUUGCUGUUUUCCCUCAUUAUUACUAAUAAUAGAAGAUUGCUUUUUACAUGUUCUAACAUGUUGCUAGAAAAAAUAUACUGUAAAUAAAAAUACUCAUACUUCAGAGCUCUAGACAGUCCUCAGUCCAAAUCACGAUCCUAUCAUUUAUUACCCCUGUAAUCCUGGGCAAACUGCUUCACCUCUAUCUGUCUCAGUUUGCAUAGCUAGAGGUGAGGCUAAUGGUACCUACUUCAUAAAUGUUCCCUCCCCGGCUUUGAUCUCCACCGUCCUGUCUAACUGCAUGGCAUCCUCUCAGGAUAGAUUUUCUGGCCAUCUCAUCUAAAAUUGCAAUCCAAACAUGUCAUUGUCUUUUUUUUUUUUUUUUGCUUUAUUGUGGCACUUACCACCUGCGGAACAGGGCUCCACCCUUGUGACCCAAUCACUUCCCAAAGGCCCCACCUCCAAAUACCAACACAUUGGGGAUUUGGUAUCAAUCUGUUAAUUUGAGGUGAAGACGACAAACAUUUUGACUUUUGCAAUCAACAGGCCAAAAUCUCUGAUGCUGUCAGAAAGGCUGCCAGCAGCAGUGGGGAUAAUUUAGUUCCUGAUUCAAAUCAAUAGGAACAGACGAAACCUUUCUCACAUCCAUGAGAUAAAAAUCCUCUCCUUGGAUCAGAUUGAGCCUAUCUAAUUCAGGAGCUCCUAUCUAAUUGAGGAGCUCCUAUUAUCUAAUUCAGGAGUUCUCAAAUUUGUGCCUCAGAAUCACCUGGAGGGCUUAUUAAAAUGCAGAUUGCUGGGGCUCUCUCCUGAAGUUUCUCACCCAGUAAGUCCCAGAUCCUAAGAAUUCACAUUUCUGUCCCCAGACGAUGUUGCUGCUGCUGGACACACUUGGAAAGCCACUUCCUUAGCCAGUAUCAGGCUUCAGAGAAAGGUUACAAACUGCUUGGCUAAGGCCAGGUUCUUGAAUGAACCAACUCUUGGAAAAUUGAGGGCUGGGAGAACCACAGUUGGUUUUGAUUUCAGGAACCACCCUUAGAACUGAGGGCAGAAUCAACUUCUCCUGACUCAUACAUGGGUUACAUAGACAGGGUGUCAGGAAUGAGGAAGAGCAAGAUGGAUGGAUUCUGGAUAGGAAAUUGGCAGCCAAAAAACACUUUUAAUAAAACUGACUUUUAGAAAACAUAUAAAACACCCAUUGUGCUUGUUUGCCUUAAGAGUUCUCAGGACCAAGAAUGUAAUACCUCAAUUCAAUAGAUAUCCUUUCCUUCCAAGCCCUCCCACUUUGCAUAUACCAAGAAUUAGCCAUUUUCAAGUGCUUUUCCUCAUAAAUAAAUAAAAUCAUUUAUUUUACUCACCUAUUUAUUACAUGUCUGAGGCCCUGUUUAUCCAAGGCAGUAAACACGACUCUGGAAAAUCCAAUUCAAAAUAAAAUAACUUCAUAUUAAAGGAGUUGUUUAAAAUUCAGCUGUUUGUGGGGUGGUAGAACCAGUGCCUCAGGAUGCAUUUAAAAAACAAAAGCCUUCAUUACAAGAUAGAAGGAAAUGAAAUCUAAAAGAAAGAAGUAAGCGUGAUGUCUGCCUGAUUUAUUUCAUUGCCCUCUUCUCAAAGUCAUGCCAACACACACCUGUUUUUUAGUCCAUUUUCAUUUCUGACUUGAGAAACCAGACUUACUAUAGUCAAGAGGAAUAAUAAAAGCUUAUUUCUAGCAUGACUCAGAGCUUUUGCUAUUCCCUUACAUAUACAUAGUCUGAAUACUUUGUUUUAUAUAUGAUUUAUAUUCUACAGAUUUUAACUCAUCUAUACUCCAACAGAUCUUAACUGUUAUGAAUAUUUUUAUCUAUACCAUGGUCUCAGUAUUCAAAAAAAAAUUAUGGACCACUGUUAUAAAUUGUUAUUCAUAUAUUAUUAGAAACUGGAGAGGUUCACUAGUUCGCCUGAAGAUAACAGAUAGCUGUAGAUAAAAGGAAGUCUAGUGAUAACGUUAGUCAAUCAAAUUUUACAUUCAAGAAUCAACUAUUUUUAGUAAUGCUAAAAAGAAAAAACAUGAGAACUGAACCCCAAUUCUCAAGAAGAAUUGUCAAAAUUUCCUAAAGCAAUUUUUAAAAUAUCUAUUAAGGCACUUAAACAUUUUGAGUCAUUUAGUAGGAAAUCAGAAUCCACUAUAAAAAAGAAAUAUACUACAACUUUGAGUCUUUACGGUACUAGAAAAAUCAAUUAAAAUAGGGUCUCAUCAAUGUAAUACUGAUAACAUGUUAACUAUCUGUGAUGGUUAAUAUUGAGUGUCGACUUGAUUGGAUUGAAGGAUGCAAAGUAUUGUUCCUAGGUGUGUCUAUGAGGGUGUUGCCAAAGGAGAUUAACAUUUGAGUCAGUGGACUGGGAAAGGCCGAUCCACCCUCAAUCUGGGUGGGCACAAUCUAAUCAGCUGCCAGCAUGGCUAGAAUAAAAGCAGGCAGAAGAACGUGGAAAGACUAGGCUGACUUAGCCUCCCAGCCUACACUUGUCUCCCAUGCUGGAUGUUUCCUGUCCUGGAACACUGGACUCCAAGCUCUUCAUCUUUGGGACUCAGACUGGCAUCUUUCCUCCUCAGCUUGCAGAUGGCCUAUUGUGGGACCUCACCUUGUAAUCGUGUGAGUCAAUAUUCCUUAAUAAACUCCCCUUUAUAUAUAUAUCUAUCCUAUUAGUUCUGUCCCUCUAGAGAACCCUAAUACACUGUCUAACAUAUGGUGGAUGAGAAUACAAACAUAAUUUUGUUUGCAUGAGAUAAUAACUAGACACUAUUUUUUUUUUACAGUUAAUGCAGUAUUCUCACACACAUGUUAUUUUUAUAUCUACUGUGUCACAAGGUUGUUGGGAGCAUUAACUGUGAUUAAACAACUCACAGAUUCAGGGGCAAGCUUAUUAACAGCAGUCAUUAGGCCUUCUGUGGAUGUUAGUUCCAAUUCUUUAUAUGCUUUUGCAGUUAGUAGACAACAAUUUAUUAUAAUCAUUAUAUACAGGAGAGUGGAGUUCAGCAUUUCAAUCUCACACUCUGCCACAGGACAGAGGGCAAAGUUGAAACUUAACCCCAAUGGUUUAAAUAACCACCCUUUUCUUUCUAUUUGGUGACCUAAUAUUCCCACUUGUAAUAUGGCCUCCAAAUUCCUCCCAGAUCUAAAAUUGUGGCAUUUUGUUAUGAACAUCCUAAUUAGUAUACAAACAAUUCAUGAUGUUAAGCUCUGACUAUGAAGGGAUACAUCUCUAUGUCAAACAUUUAAUUUAAGGCAUUCAGAAAUAACUGACAGAGAUUUAAGCAAUACAUCUCAUUUUUAUGAAGUUUAAUUGGAAGUUGUAAUAUAAAUUAUGUAUAACAGGUAAAAGGAAUGUUUCAUAAUAAAAUAUAGAUUUGUAGUUUCUCUGCUAUGUUAAUUUGAUUUCAAAAUCUCAAUGUAGCUGCUAACAUUACUCUGUAUCUAAUAUUUUAGUUUAGUUUUCACUGUGGUCAGAGAAAUACUCUAAGCUAUAUUUUAUGAUCCAUCAUAUUAUCAAUUUGGUAAAUAUCCUCUGUGAACUUGAAAAGGAUGUGCUUUCUGUCAUUGUUGGGCUUGAUGUUUUAUUAUUGGGUGCAGCAUUCUCUGUGUCAAUUAGAACAGAUCUAUAAAUUAUGUUUUUAGUCUUAUAUAUGCUUGUUAUCCUUUAUCUGAAGUUAUUGAAAAAGAUAUGUGAAUUCCUG